CACUCCUACGGGAGGCAGCAGUGGGGAAUUUUGGACAAUGGGCGAAAGCCUGAUCCAGCCAUGCCGCGUGCAGGAUGAAGGCCUUCGGGUUGUAAUCUGCUUUUGUACGGAACGAAACGGCCUUUUCUAAUAAAGAGGGCUAAUGACGGUACCGUAAGAAUAAGCACCGGCUAACUACGUGCCAGCAGCCGCGGUAAUACGUAGGGUGCAAGCGUUAAUCGGAAUUACUGGGCGUAAAGCGUGCGCAGGCGGUUAUGUAAGACAGUUGUGAAAUCCCCGGGCUCAACCUGGGAACUGCAUCUGUGACUGCAUAGCUAGAGUACGGUAGAGGGGGAUGGAAUUCCGCGUGUAGCAGUGAAAUGCGUAGAUAUGCGGAGGAACACCGAUGGCGAAGGCAAUCCCCUGGACCUGUACUGACGCUCAUGCACGAAAGCGUGGGGAGCAAACAGGAUUAGAAACCCGUGUAGUCC
rnacentral:rRNA from 1 species